rnacentral:rRNA from 1 species
UACAGAGGGGGCAAGCGUUGUUCGGAAUUACUGGGCGUAAAGAGCGCGCAGGCGGCUGGUCAAGUCCGAUGUGAAAUCUCCCGGCUCAACUGGGAAACUGCAUCGGAAACUGAUCGGCUUGAAGGUGGGAGAGGGUAGUGGAAUUCCCGGUGUAGUGGUGAAAUGCGUAGAUAUCGGGAGGAACACCAGUAGCGAAGGCGACUACCUGGCCCAUUCUUGACGCUGAGGCGCGAAAGCUAGGGGAGCGAACGGG